GAAAUGCGAUAAGUAGUGUGAAUUGCAGAAUUUAGUGAAUCAUCGAAUCUUUGAACGCACAUUGCGCCUCCUGGCAUUCCAGGGGGCAUGCCUGUUCGAGCGUCAUUAAAAGCCCUCAGGUGAGCCGCCAAGCUCGCCUGGUGCUGGGGGAUGGUAACUGGCGUCUUCGGGCAGCCGCCCACCCCCGAAAUCCAACGGCGGACGACACACCGGUGGAAAACUGCUGGCGUAGUGAGCAAUGCUUUCGCCAGCCGCCACCGAGUGACGGUCUAGCCGGUUUAGAACCCCCACAACCAACGGUUGACCUCGGAUCAGGUAGGGAUACCCGCUGAACUUAA
rnacentral:misc_RNA from 1 species